rnacentral:misc_RNA from 1 species
UUAUUUUGUUAUAAUAAGACUACAUUUGUUACAUAUAAUAGUUUGUAAAAAGGUCAGACAACCCAGAGGCCGAAGCCCUAGAGUCAUCUUACAGUGCACAGGUGUUAUGGAUGUGAAGGGUGCGAGGGGCUUGCCGAAGCAGAGACACCCAAGCGUUUGUAUUCACUAAUGAUCCUUCCGCAGGUUCACCUACGGAAA